rnacentral:rRNA from 1 species
CCUACGGGUGGCAGCAGUGGGGAAUAUUGGACAAUGGGGGAAACCCUGAUCCAGCGAUGCCGCGUGAGUGAUGAAGGCCUUCGGGUUGUAAAGCUCUUUUAUCCGGGAAGCGGUACCGGAAGAAUAAGCUCCGGCUAACUUCGUGCCAGCAGCCGCGGUAAUACGAAGGGAGCUAGCGUUGUUCGGAAUUACUGGGCGUAAAGGGCGUGUAGGUGGUUUGAUAAGUAAGAUGUGAAAUCCCUGGGCUUAACCUGGAAUGGCAUUUUGGACUGUUAGACUAGUGUGCGAGAGGGGAAAGUGGAAUGGCGAGUGGAGCAGUGAAAUGCGUUGAUAUUCGUUGGAACACCAGAGGCGAAGGCGACUUUCUGGCUCGACAGACACUAAGGCGCGAAAGCGUGGGGAGCAAACAGGAUUAGAUACCCCAGUAGUC